CCAAGUGCUACAGACCUAAACGGCUCAUACUCCUUUAUCACCUGGAGCCUGGAUUCUCCUGCCUUCAGAUCAAGACAUUUCUGACUACACUAAGUCUGAAGUGCUAUACGAUGCAGAGAGCAGUGUUGCCUUCAUCGCAAGUGGUGCAGCAUUGGAUUUUCAAGUCGCUUCCUUCCAUCCUUGUGAUGUUCUCCACUCACCUGGAAGAUGACCGCCCUGGCACUGCUCAAAAAAGUCAAGAUAUCUGCAUCUUUUUCUCCACCGUCGAUUGAACAAGCACCUGCAGACAGCUGUUGCUGCUAUCAGGGGAUCUGGCAUAUAAAAAGAUGAAAAAGACUUUUCCAUACAAAAUAGCUGUCACAUGAAAUUACCUAUGGAGAAGUCAAACCCAGCUGUAACAGUGCCACAAGAUGACAUCGGAAAAAAAUCACUCUGAG